rnacentral:snRNA from 1 species
AAUGCUCUGUGACUGAGUGGUUAAAAAAAAAAAAUUUAAAAAUUUGUUCUUAUCAGUUAAAUAUCCUUUUACGUCCCCUAUCUGGGGACCAUAAAUUAAAUGGAUUUUUGGAACAGGGAGAUGGAAGAAGAGCUUGCUCUGUCCACUCCAUGCAUUGACCUUGUAUUGCAGUACCCCCAGGACCGGUGCACCUUUC